AAGUCGGAACAAGGUUUCCGUAGGUGAACCUGCGGAAGGGUCAUUAACACGUAUCCAACGUUAAUCCACCCGUGCACCUUCAGUGAGCCUGGCGGAGACACUCUCGUCGAGGCCAUAUGUCUCCGGGCUUGUACUUCUUGGGAGAACGGGUUUCUCGAUACCAGAGCGGGAAAGGAUGGUCAGAGGUGCGCAGCCUCUGGGAUUCGUUUCCCACUCUUCGGGAAAUUCCCAAAACAUUGGACUUCGGGAAGUCGCGCCCUUUCGCCAGUCGGAAACCCCUUUUCGCUUUAACGGAGCUUUGUGUGGCGUCCCCCGUGGUUCAUACACACCGCGGAAAAAUAUGACUAACCCCACAGAAAAUUACCGUCCGCCUCGUAGCCCGACCGGUAACCCGAACAACUGUUAACAAUGGAUAUCUUGGUCUC
rnacentral:misc_RNA from 1 species